rnacentral:rRNA from 1 species
AAACAUCGCUGGAAGAAAUAACUUUUAGCAAUACCUGCCCAGUGCGAUAUAUUACUGUAAACGGCCGCCCUAGCGUGAGGGUGCUAAGGUAGCGAAAUUCCUUGCCUUUUGAUUGUAGGCCUGCAUGAAUGGUUUAACGAGGGUUUAACUGUCUCUAGAUCUUUAAUUGAAAUUGUACUGAAGGUGAAGAUACCUUCAUUUAAGAGUCAGACAAAAAGACCCCGUGCAACUUUGAAAAUUAACCUUAUUCAGGGGUAAGAGAUUUUUAGGUGGGGCGCCUAGGAAGUAAACCUAACCUUUCUGAGUAAUAACUCUCUUUCUGGAAUUGACCCGAUUAUAUUCGAUCAUAGGAGAAGUUACGCCGGGGAUAACAGGCUAAUCCUUUAGUAGAGCUCGUAUUGGCUAAAGGGAUUGGCACCUCGAUGUUGAAUCAGGGAUGAUAGCUUCAAGGCGUAGAGGCUUUGAGAGUAGGUCUGUUCGACCUUUAAUACCCUACGUGAUC